rnacentral:rRNA from 1 species
GAUGAACGCUGGCGGCGUGCCUAAUACAUGCAAGUCGAGCGAACGGACGAGAAGCUUGCCUUUCUGAUGUUAGCGGCGGACGGGUGAGUAACACGUGGAUAACCUACCUAUAAGACUGGGAUAACUUCGGGAAACCGGAGCUAAUACCGGAUAAUAUUUUGAACCGCAUGGUUCAAAAGUGAAAGACGGUCUUGCUGUCACUUAUAGAUGUAUCCGCGCUGCAUUAGCUAGUUGGUAAGGUAACGGCUUACCAAGGCAACGAUGCAUAGCCGACCUGAGAGGAUGAUCGGCCACACUGGAACUGAGACACGGUCCAGACUCCUACGGGAGGCAGCAGUAGGGAAUCUUCCGCAAUGGGCGAAAGCCUGACGGAGCAACGCCGCGUGAGUGAUGAAGGUCUUCGGAUCGUAAAACUCUGUUAUUAGGGAAGAACAUAUGUGUAAGUAACUGUGCACAUCUUGACGGUACCUAAUCAGAAAGCCACGGCUAACUACGUG